AUGCAUCGGGCAUUUUCUAAUUAAUUCCUUGAACUGCUCCCAUGCUUCGUAUAAUGUCUCAUCUUCAGAUUGUCUAAACAAUGUAAUAUCAUUCCUUAACUU
rfam:Gossypium raimondii Chr03_contig_601, whole genome shotgun sequence.